GAAUUUUAUAUAUUUUUAUUUAGUAAAAUUUAUAUUGAAAUAAAUAAGAAGAUAUUUUAUUGGGAGGAUAGUUAAAUAUAAAAAACUUUAAUUAAAAUUGAAAUAUAAAUUAAUAAAUUUAAGAAUGAUUAAAUAAAUUAAUUAAAAAUUAAUUACCUUAGGGAUAACAGCGUAAUAUUUUUGGAGAGUUCAUAUUAAUAAAAAUGUUUGC
rnacentral:rRNA from 1 species